GCUAAAGGUGCUCAUCAACCGGCUCACUGGAAGCAAAGUGGGUAGCUGCACCCACCCCCUCAACCCCCACCCCAGAAGCCCCUCUGCCGCACCACUCUUGGAAGGAGAAAAGGAAGUGGUCAAAGAGGCCCCUGAGAUGUGCCUGUAGCUCAGUCCCACUCUCCUCUGCUUUCUGCAGCUGCACCUCCAGGUACAAAGAACUACAGGAGCAGGAAAGGAGGGGGAUAUAUCCAAAAUAAAGAAGAUACUGUCACUGCUAUCAGUUACUGAAGACCAGCCAUAUGCCAGGCUCUAUGAUGGCAUUUUGCAAACACUGCUCUAAUCUUCCCAACAACUCUUCAAGCCAGGUGCAGUUCUUCUAGUUGCUCCUCCCUCUCCCCCUGGGCAGAGUCCCCCUGUAACUGAAGCUCCACGUUUGCCCGUCGCAGUCGCCAUGCCUCCUGCUCCAACACCUCCAGUUGCUGCUGCAGCUCCUCCCUGGCCUUCUCCAGGAGCUCUCGUUCCCUGGAAGAGGAAGGAAACCAGAGACAAGCAGAGACCUUGCAACCUAAAAUCCUUCCUGUAAGCAGACAUCGCAAGGUCAAAGGGGAGAGGUGCUGUUUCCUGUAAACAUCUCAUCUUCCUUUUUGAGCAGAAGAAAUCUCUUUUUAUAAUCACCAAGGUGAUUGGGAAGUGAGAAGGAAAGAGCAGAAUACAAAGCAAAGGAGCCCUGUGCAGUGCUGGGUCACACAAACAGAGGGUCAAAAACACGAUGGCAGUGGACAAACUGCCGAUGAGGACUGAGACCAGGGGUAGAAGGUGAGAUGAACAGCCUGUUUGCUCACCUGCUGAGAGAGUCUACCUCUCCCUGGAGGUCCACAGUCUGCCCUGCCAGUGUGUCCCGCUCCCCAGUGAGCUUCUGCAGCCGCUGUCUCAAGGCCUCACCCUCUUCCUCCCACUGAUCAUGCUGCUGCUGCAAGAAGCUCAUAGCCUCCUGACAGCCUGCAAGCUGCUGCCUUAGGUCCUGUGGAGGGAGAGCAACAGGAAUGAGAUAAUGGGCAAAAGGGCAAGGGGAAGGAUGUCAGAAGCCCCAAAGCAGGGUUGAACAAGGGAGCUUGGAGCUGGUGCAUUAAGGGUAAACUGAGAAUAAAGAUGUAACCAGUUGAGAAAACAGAGGAUCGGAUUACUGAGCUUGUGUGUUGGGCCUUAGAGUUCAUGAUCUUCAGAUGUUUUGUGGCUUGGAAGCUAAAGUCUGAGAGCCCUGGAAAAGUACAGGGGUACAAUGGCACAGGGGGAUAAGUGAGGCUGGAAUCUAGAGUGGGGGAACGCUCACCCACACUCUCCCAGUGCUCCGUCUGCUAAUCUUUGCACAGUGCUAUAGAGGUGUGCCAUUGGUAUAGAGAAUGUGCCUGUUACCCACAAGUACAACUGGGUGGACACAGAGAGAUUCUAAUGGGCACUUCGGAGAGUCUAAUGAGCACCUCAUGACUGGUCAACAAAGUAAAAGGGGCAGUCCAGGGUACCUGAGGCACAAAUUAGACACCCACUAAUGGAAUGCUAGUGGUUCUUACCUGUACAGCCUGGCGUCUCCGAGUUAUCACUGAACGCACCAGAGUAAGAGCCUUGUCUGGGUCCUGGGAGUCCAACUGGGAGGAGAGGCCACUAGAGUCCAACUCCAAGGAGCUCUCAUGACCAGUGCCUUGGGCCAUAUUGUCCCCUUCUUCCACCAUGGCCUGAAACCCAACACAGUGGGGUCACCACACUACUAAGCAAGACCUACAGUCCAGAAGACUUACAAAGCCUGGACAAAUUUGAUGUUUUCUUUCUUAGCUCCUCUCCUUGAGGGUGGUAGGGGCAUCUAAGAGCCAAAAGGGUUGGGUCCUUCAACUCUCCACAUUUGGUCCCUCAAACCUAGGACCAACAAGGCUAGAGCAUUCCCUGUGGUAAUAAUAAAUGAAGAAAUGAAAGAAGAAGAGGCUAUUGAGGUAAUGAAGACCAGAAUCCAGUCUCUGGCCUAAGAACUGCAGCUGACAAUGAGAAAGAGGGUCUGUCCCAUCAGGCAAUACUAGACGUGAAUGCUUAGCUAACCGUUAGGGUUCCUGUCUUCAAAUACUCUCAUAGAAUGCACCCCCCCCCCCCCCAUCAUGCCCUAAGCUCUUAACACCUGCAGAGAGUGGCAAUCUUGGCAUGUUUGAGAGGACUUGGAGGCCUGGGGAGAGGAGUGAAGCACACCUUGGUUACCAUGAACAGGAGUCUUACCAGUACCUGGGUUAUAUCCUUGAUCACCUGCUGUAAAGACAACUUCUCUUCUUGGGCAUUCCUACUAAGAGAUGCCUCAUGUUCCAUUAAUUCUGCAUGAUUUGUCUCCUGAACAGGGACAAAACAGAGCCCAUGAGCCCAACUCUCAGAUAAGAAUUUAUAAUUCCAGGCCCCAAAUUCAACCAGAGUUUCAAUCUGUCUAUUGUCAACCCCACUUCUUCCCUGACCACAUGUGAAUACUAAUGCUGUCCUCAAGGAGUUUGAAAACAAUGUGAUGGAGUGAUUAUGAGUUCAGAUUAAUUGAUUAAGAACUCCAAAUUAGACUGCUUAGAUUCAAGUUUUUAUUCUAUCACUUAUUAGCUUGGUAACUGCUUCUUUGAGCUUCAUUAUCCUUCUCUUUAAAAUAAGAAUAAUUAGCAGCAACUAAUUCACAAGUUUGUUUUAAGGCUUAAAUUAAAAAAAAAAAAAAGGGCAGGUAAAUUACUCAACACAAUGCCUGGCACAAACCAAA